rnacentral:rRNA from 1 species
UCCGUAGGUGAACCUGCGGAGGGAUCAUUAAACAAAUCCAAAAUAAGCUAUGAAAGGAUUAGUAUAGGUGGAGGUUACUCUAUUUAUGCUAAUCCUUUUUAGUAUUCAGUGAGAGUUAAAAAUCCUCAUUGAAUGUGAUUAUUUACCUAGUAUUUAAUCACAAAACAUCCACGAUAUACAAUUAGACAAUAUAUUAGACAUAUAAGAAAAACAACUUUUAACAAUGGAUCUCUUGGCUCUUACGACGAUGAAGAACGUAGCGAACUGCGAAAAGUAAUGUGACCUGCAAACUUUGUGAAUCAUUAAAUAUUUGAACGCAACUUGCACCAAAUAAGCAAUUGUUUGGUAUACUUGUUUGAGUAAUAGUAAAAAAUCGCCUAUGGUGAAAUUGUAGAAUACAGUUGUGUUCUAUGAAGAAGAUUGACCGUUAAGGUCUGCUGGGAUAAUAUCCUAACAGCGAGACCCUUUGGUUAUUUGUGUGUAAAUAUGUAUGUGAAUAUGUAUAUAUACCGAAACAGAUAUGGUACAAGGAUUAGGUAGAUAUAUAACAAUAAUAUUUAUCCAUCUAAGCCUAACCUCAUAUCAUCCUUUAU